AUUGAACGCUGGCGGCAUGCUUUACACAUGCAAGUCGAACGGUAACAGGCCUUCGGGCGCUGACGAGUGGCGAACGGGUGAGUAAUGCAUCGGAACGUGCCCAGUCGUGGGGGAUAACGCAGCGAAAGCUGUGCUAAUACCGCAUACGAUCUGCGGAUGAAAGCGGGGGACCUUCGGGCCUCGCGCGAUUGGAGCGGCCGAUGUCAGAUUAGGUAGUUGGUGGGGUAAAGGCUCACCAAGCCAACGAUCUGUAGCUGGUCUGAAAGGACGACCAGCCAAACUGGGACGGAGACACGGCCCAGACUCCUACGGGAGGCAGCAGUGGGGAAUUUUGGACAAGGGUCGCAAGACUGAUCCAGCCAUGCCGCGUGCAGGAAGACGGCCCUAUGGGUUGUAAACUGCUUUUGUACCAGAGAAAACCUACUCACGUGUGAGUAGUUGAUAGUAUGGUAAGAAUAAGCAUCGGCUAACUUCGUGCCAGCCGCCGCAGUAAAA
rnacentral:rRNA from 1 species